GAACGAACUGAGAUUUCUUCGGAAUGAAUAGUUUAGUGGCGGACGGGUGAGUAACGCGUGAGUACCUGCCUUCAAGAGGGGGAUAACAUUCUGAAAAGAAUGCUAAUACCGCAUGACACCACAUGGUCAAAGAUUUUAUCGCUUGAAGAUGGACUCGCGUCCGAUUAGUUAGUUGGUGAGGUAACGGCUCACCAAGACCGCGAUCGGUAGCCGGACUGAGAGGUUGAACGGCCACAUUGGGACUGAGACACGGCCCAGACUCCUACGGGAGGCAGCAGUGGGGGAUAUUGCGCAAUGGGGGCAACCCUGACGCAGCAACGCCGCGUGAAGGAUGAAGGUUUUCGGAUUGUAAACUUCUUUUAUUAAGGACGAAAAAUGACGGUACUUAAUGAAUAAGCUCCGGCUAACUACGUGCCAGCAGCCGCGGUAAUACGUAGGGAGCAAGCGUUGUCCGGAUUUACUGGGUGUAAAGGGUGCGUAGGCGGCUUUGCAAGUCAGAUGUGAAAUCUAUGGGCUCAACCCAUAAACUGCAUUUGAAACUGUAGAGCUUGAGUGAAGUAGAGGCAGGCGGAAUUCCCCGUGUAGCGGUGAAAUGCGUAGAGAUGGGGAGGAACACCAGUGGCGAAGGCGGCCUGCUGGGCUUUAACUGACGCUGAGGCACGAAAGCGUGGGUAGCAAACAGGAUUAGAUACCCUGGUAGUCCACGCUGUAAACGAUGAU
rnacentral:rRNA from 1 species